AUCCAGCUGACGCAUCCCAAAAUAGGACGAUAUGCUCGUCCUGGAU
rnacentral:hammerhead_ribozyme from 1 species